rnacentral:rRNA from 1 species
CCUACGGGAGGCAGCAGUGGGGAAUUUUGGACAAUGGGGGGCAACCCUGAUCCAGCAAUGCCGCGUGAGUGAAGAAGGCCUUCGGGUUGUAAAGCUCUUUUGUCAGGGAAGAAACAGCAGCUCUAACACAGACUGCGAAUGACGGUACCUGAAGAAUAAGCACCGGCUAACUACGUGCCAGCAGCCGCGGUAAUACGUAGGGUGCGAGCGUUAAUCGGAAUUACUGGGCGUAAAGCGUGCGCAGGCGGUUAUACAAGACAGGCGUGAAAUCCCCGGGCUUAACCUGGGAAUGGCGUCUGUGACUGUAUAGCUAGAGUGUGUCAGAGGGGGGUGGAAUUCCACGUGUAGCAGUGAAAUGCGUAGAUAUGUGGAGGAACACCAAUGGCGAAGGCAGCCCCCUGGGAUAACACUGACGCUCAUGCACGAAAGCGUGGGGAGCAAACAGGAUUAGAUACCCUGGUAGUCCACGCCCUAAACGAUGCUGACUAGUUGUUGGGAAUUUACAUUCUCAGUAACGUAGCUAACGCGUAGAAGUCAGCCGCCUGGGGAGUACGGGUCGCGAAAGGAGUUUAAAACGUCAAAAGUAGUAACGUUAGGACGGCGUAGGAACGUUACCGUUCGACCGGACGGCCGACCGAGGGAGGGGUAGGAGGG